rnacentral:rRNA from 1 species
AUUGAACGCUGGCGGAAUGCUUUACACAUGCAAGUCGAGCGGCAGCACGGACUUCGGUCUGGUGGCGAGUGGCGAACGGGUGAGUAAUGUAUCGGAACGUGCCCAGUCGUGGGGGAUAACGUAGUGAAAAUUACGCUAAUACCGCAUACGAUCUAUGGAUGAAAGCGGGGGAUCGCAAGACCUCGCGCGAUUGGAGCGGCCGAUAUCAGAGUAGGUAGUUGGUGGGGUAAAGGCCCACCAAGCCAACGAUCUGUAGCUGUCUGAGAGGACGACCAGCCACACUGGAACUGAGACACGGUCCAGACUCCUACGGGAGGCAGCAGUGGGGAAUUUUGGACAAUGGGCGAAAGCCUGAUCCAGCCAUUCCGCGUGCAGGAUGAAGGCCCUCGGGUUGUAAACUGCUUUUGUACAGAACGAAGAGGUUUCUACUAAUACUAGGAGCUCAUGACGGUACUGUAAGAAUAAGCACCGGCUAACUACGUGCCAGCAGCCGCCGUAA